CCAAAAAACAAAGCAGGAACGUUUCUCAGGCCUCUCUCUCUCUCUAAAACUCUCUCUCUCUUCGAUUAUCGAAACCCUAACCCUAGCACCGAUCCUCAAAUCUAACACAAUUCUCACUUGGGAAACGCCGAUUCAGCUGCCGUUUCGCUUGAUUAUCGGAGAGGAUAGCCAUCCAUCCGAGAGGUGUUUCUUUUUUGAAGCCAUGAACAAGAUUUUGAUAGAGCUUAUAUUAUGAUGAUAAGACGUCUAGGGUCGUGUUUUAAUUGCAUGGGGAUUGACUUUGAGAAAUGCCUGAGCUUCGUAAAGGGGUACGCCGAGGCCGAGCUGGUACUUUAGCUGCUACUGCUCCUCCUGCUGGUGCUCCUGCGACCAACCCCACCGUCGGACGGAACCGCGUGAAGACACGCGCUGCGAUCGCGAGGGAGGAGGCGGCGGCUCAGAGGGAGAGGCCGAGGACGAGGUUAGCUGCGAAGAAAUUGGAGCAGCAGGAACAUCAUCAUCAAGAAGAGAAGGACAAUCACCAACAACAACAGGUGAUUGUGAUAUCGGAGAAGGAUAAUAGUCAAUUGGAAAGAAAGGUAGAAAAGGGAAAACAAGGAAUAAAUAAUAACAACAACAAAAAGAUGGGCGAUGAUAGUGGUGGGUUGAGUGCUAAUAAGGCUGUUGGCCAAGAAGAGGAGGGCAGCACGGCGCCAUUUCCCGAGAGGGUUCAAGUAGGAGGCUCACCUGUAUAUAAGAUCGAGCGGAAGUUAGGUAAAGGUGGAUUUGGUCAGGUAUUUGUUGGUCGUCGUGUUCAUGGUGGAACUGAUCGCACAUCAGGUCCUGGGGCCAUGGAGGUAGCACUGAAAUUUGAGCACAGAAACAGCAAAGGCUGUAACUAUGGCCCACCAUAUGAAUGGCAAGUUUACAAUACUCUUGGAGGUAGUCAUGGAGUGCCGAAAGUACACUACAAAGGAAAGCAAGGAGACUAUUAUGUAAUGGUUAUGGACAUGUUAGGGCCUAGCCUAUGGGAUGUAUGGAAUAAUUCGGGGCAGGCGAUGAGCUCUGAGAUGGUGGCUUGUAUUGCAGUUGAAGCUUUGUCAAUCCUAGAGAAAAUGCACUCCCGCGGUUACGUACAUGGAGAUGUAAAGCCAGAGAACUUUUUACUUGGUCAGCCUAAUACAGCUCAAGAGAAAAAGUUAUUUCUUGUUGACCUUGGAUUAGCAACAAAAUGGAGAGACAGUGGUACUGGGCAUCAUGUUGAAUAUGAUCAGCGUCCUGACAUGUUUAGAGGUACUGUUCGAUAUGCUAGUGUUCAUGCCCACUUGGGAAGAACUGCCAGUAGAAGAGAUGAUCUUGAAUCCCUUGCAUAUACUCUCAUCUUCUUACAUAAAGGCAGGCUACCCUGGCAAGGCUAUCAGGGUGAUAAUAAAUCAUUCCUAGUUUGCAAAAAGAAGAUGGCAACAUCCCCAGAAAUGCUCUGCUGCUUCUGCCCCCCACCUCUCAAACAAUUUCUUGAGAUUGUGGUAAACAUGAAAUUCGAUGAGGAGCCCAUCUAUUCCAAACUAAUAUCAUUAUUUGAGGGUUUGCUUGGACCAAAUCCAGCUGUACGGCCAAUAAAUACUGAGGGUGCUCAGAAGAUUAUCUAUCAAGUUGGCCAAAAACGGGGAAGAUUGAAUGUUGAGGAAGAAGACGAUGGACAACCCAGGAAGAAGGUUCGACUAGGAGUUCCUGCUACACAGUGGAUUUCUGUUUACAAUGCUAGGCUUCCAAUGAAGCAGAGGUACCAUUAUAAUGUUGCUGAUGCAAGGUUGGCACAACAUAUUGAGAGAGGAAUGGCUGAUGGCCUGCUUAUUAGUUGUGUGGCAUCUUGUUCUAAUCUUUGGGCGUUAAUUAUGGAUGCUGGAACUGGUUUUACUAGCCAAGUUUAUGAGCUGUCACCUUUCUUCUUACACAAGGAAUGGAUCAUGGAACAGUGGGAAAAGAACUUCUAUAUCAGUUCUAUUGCUGGUGCUAACAACGGAAGUUCUCUUGUAGUAAUGUCCAAAGGCACACAGUAUACUCAACAGUCUUAUAAAGUGAGUGACUCCUUCCCCUUCAAGUGGAUAAAUAAGAAGUGGCGAGAAGGGUUUCAUGUUACCUCAAUGGCAACUGCUGGAACCCGAUGGGGUGUUGUUAUGUCUCGUAAUGCUGGCUUUAGUGAACAGGUUGUGGAGCUAGAUUUUCUCUAUCCAAGUGAGGGUAUACACAGACGAUGGGAUAGUGGUUAUCGAAUUACAUCAACUGCUGCAACUUGCGAUCAAGCAGCUCUUAUCUUAAGUGUUCCCAGGCGCAAACCUGGUGAUGAAACUCAAGAAACUUUACGUACUUCUCAAUUCCCAAGUACACAUGUUAAGGAAAAAUGGGCGAAGAAUCUGUAUCUUGCCUGUCUUUGCUACGGGCGGACUGUGUCUUAAAAUCACCUAUUGAAAGUGGUUGGAGGGGAAAUUUAUGUUUAGAAAGAUUAGAAAAAGUGGCAGAUGGUGGUGAUCCCUUAUUCCCCUCCAAUCUUGCUCAAGCUGAAAAAAAUAUAAUGCCCAGAAUUCAAAAUAAAACGUGAAGGUAAUUCUUCUUGUGCAUAAUUUUUAUGGAUUUUGGCUUCGAAAGUUAUUUUUGUCCAAUAAUAAUAAAUGGGUGUAUAUAAAGUCUGAUUGGCAAACUAUAGCCAAUUAAACUCAAGUCAAUUGGGGUUUGAAAACGAGAGUUGCAAUCCAGAAAUUUUUGGCCUCCUGGAGAGGGUUUAAGGUUUAUUCAUUGGGGUUGUUUUGUUAUUUGCUCAUAAGGUACAAAUACAUUUGAUUUGAUCAGAAAGGGUUGCAUUUGUGUCACUACAGGAAUGCUCGGUUUAAAUCUUUGAUCCUUGGUUGUUCCAAAUGGAACAUGAUCGAUCCUUUGGUCAUUCAAUGUUUUAUUUAAAACCCUGGACAUGGAACACCUAUUUCAUUGCAAGAAGAAGUUUGUGUUUGUGUGGAUCUUGAGAGAAUGCACGUUUAUUUUACUUGGAAUGUUUGUUUUCAGUCCAUGUAUCAGGUGUCAAACCUGAAAUAUUAUUUCAGUAUUAUUUAUUUUUGUUCAAAUUAAA